ACCGUCAAUGUUCCUUCCUCCUCAGCUCUAACUAUUGUUCUGAGUGGCUAAAAAUGGAAGAAAAAGUAAAACUGAAGUGGAUUUGGAACAUUCCGUGACAUACAAGUUCAUUUCAAACAAAC
rnacentral:snoRNA from 1 species